rnacentral:lncRNA from 1 species
CCACUGAUUCUUCUGAAUCUUAGGCCUUUGGACUUGGACUGGAACUAAACCAUCAGCUCUUCUUGUUCUACCACUUGCAGACUGUAUGUCUUGGGACAUGUCAGCCUCUGUAAUCACGCUCAAUUUUCCUACAUAAUUAAGAGUUUGGAAUUCGGGCAAUAUCAAGAACCACAUCUGUCCUGAAAUCAAUUAUCUCUGUUUGGCUUUACUACAUCAGAUCCACCUAGUCCCUGGACUAAUCAGGCACUUUUCUGAUUUUAGAAACACAAGAAAUAAGAAGACCAUUUUGAGAAGAACAGAGAGUAGCCUUAAGAAAAUCCCUGUCGCAAGCACUCUGGGAUUUGGACUCAAAUGCUAAUUAUACAGUCUAUAAUGAUGACUGGAAUAGGAAAUUCGGACAGCAAAAGUGGUCGCUUCUUAGGCUUCCUGCCAGAUUUUGAAAACCACUAUAACUAGUCGUUUCUGCCAAG